AAGAAGUUAAUUACCCUCUAACCCUAGACAACAACCCAACAACUGUUCAUGCUGCUGAGCAAGGAAAACACAGUCUCGGGCCAGGUAUUCAGGUGAAAUAUGCUACCAUUUCAAUCUGGAAUGAGAUGGAUUUUUCCUCAAGACAUAUGACUUUCACGUGGAAAUCAAUAAGACACGAGAUCAGAUGGAAGGAACACAACAACUGGGAAUACCAUCCAAUAUAGCGAAGGAAUUAUUUCCACACAAACCAACAGAAGUAGAAGUUCUACUUCCGGAUGGAACUUGGCAAAUAUGGAAGAUCAAGUGGAACUCUCGUUGACACCACCGUGGCUUCUUCUGCAACGGAUGGACAACCUUUAGAAGUGCAGAAAUAGACAACACAUGCUUAGAAGGAGGGAAUCACAUUCUAUAUAUGUGGAUGCGAACUGAUAAGAACAUCUAUGCCAUUGACAUUGACCACUGGCCAAAGGAGACAACUAUAGCACAUCAAGGAGCAUCAAGAUUGAGGUUUCAAUGACAUAAAGUGAGCUGGAGACAACAGUCAAAUUUGCAUUUUGGGGACCUACAUUUCCUACCAUAAAGAGCUUCAUAUGGUGUCAUCUUAAUGCUUGAGUGAUAACUAUUAUUAUAUGAAAACUCUAUUAGUGGCAAAUAUCUAUCCCAACUAUCACCUUGUUCCAAAAUGCACGCCCUGAGCAUAUCUUCUAAUGUUUGGAUUGUUCUUUCUGUUUGCCCAUCAGUUUGAGGGUGAUAUGCUGUACUAAGACAUAAUUUUGUUCCAAAAGCUUUUUGUAGAGCUCCCCCAAGAAGAAAACCUAGGGUCUCUAUCAGAAAUAAUGUUAGAAGGUACUCCAUGUAAUCUUACUAUUUCUUGUAUAUACAACUGAGCUAACCUAUCUAGAGUGUAUGUUUCUUUAAUAGGUAAAGUGGGCAGAUUUAGUCAGUCUAUCUACAAUAAUCCAUAUGGCAUCAUGUUUAGAUUGAGUCCUAGGUAAUCCCAUCACAAAAUCCAUAGAUAUACUAUCCCACUUCCAUUUAGGAAUUUCUAAAG